rnacentral:rRNA from 1 species
UGGGGAAUUUUGGACAAUGGGGGAAACCCUGAUCCAGCCAUCCCGCGUGUGCGAUGAAGGCCUUCGGGUUGUAAAGCACUUUUGGCAGGAAAGAAACGUCGCGGGUUAAUACCCCGCGAAACUGACGGUACCUGCAGAAUAAGCACCGGCUAACUACGUGCCAGCAGCCGCGGUAAUACGUAGGGUGCAAGCGUUAAUCGGAAUUACUGGGCGUAAAGCGUGCGCAGGCGGUUCGGAAAGAAAGAUGUGAAAUCCCAGAGCUUAACUUUGGAACUGCAUUUUUAACUACCGGGCUAGAGUGUGUCAGAGGGAGGUGGAAUUCCGCGUGUAGCAGUGAAAUGCGUAGAUAUGCGGAGGAACACCGAUGGCGAAGGCAGCCUCCUGGGAUAACACUGACGCUCAUGCACGAAAGCGUGGGGAGCAAACAGGAUUAGAUACCCUGGUAGUCCACGCCCUAAACGAUGUCAACUAGCUGUUGGGGGCCUUCGGGCCUUGGUAGCGCAGCUAACGCGUGAAGUUGACCGCCUGGGGAGUACGGUCGCAAGAUUAAAACUCAAAGGAAUU